UGAGGAAUAUUGGUCAAUGGGCGCGAGCCUGAACCAGCCAAGUAGCGUGAAGGAUGAAGGUCCUAUGGAUUGUAAACUUCUUUUAUAGCAGAAUAAAGUGACCCACGUGUGGGUUUUUGUAUGUAUGCUAUGAAUAAGGAUCGGCUAACUCCGUGCCAGCAGCCGCGGUAAUACGGAGGAUCCGAGCGUUAUCCGGAUUUAUUGGGUUUAAAGGGUGCGUAGGCGGAAAGAUAAGUCAGCCUGUGAAAGUUUGCGGCUCAACCGUAAAAUUGCAGCUGAUACUGUUUUUCUUGAGUGUACAUAAGGUAGGCGGAAUUCGUGGUGUAGCGGUGAAAUGCUUAGAUAUCACGAGGAACUCCGAUUGCGCAGGCAGCUUACUAAGCCACAACUGACGCUCAUGCACGAAGGCGUGGGGAUCAAACA
rnacentral:rRNA from 1 species